rnacentral:lncRNA from 1 species
ACCUUUUCAGAUUCCUGUUGGCCAUUUUCCCACAGUUGCCCUGCGAAACCUCUGUAUAUGAAAAGUUGGCCCUCCAUGUACAUGGGUUUCCCAUCCUGUCACAGAAUUUUCCACACUCCUUGACAGAGGUGCUUAACCCUUAUCCAUCAGCAUUCUCAGACAGCACCUCCGGUUAGGGACAGUAUCUGACCGUCCGACAUCCCUGCAGCCCCCAUGUGUCACACAGACUCAGCCUCAGGUAGAUGGUUUCCGUAGAUGGUGGCUUUCUUUGGACCCUUGACAUCAACCAGUUACUAUUUGCAGGGCCACACAUAACAAAUAGAAGCAGAGCAAGCCCUGGAACUCCUGCCUGACAGUGACACGACGACAGAAACAUCUUACCAGUCAGAGGACCAUGAGAAAUAGAUUCAAGGAGCAUUCCACGUGCAAGUGAGUCUUGGCCCCAUCUGCCUUUGGAUUUUAGCCGUGAACUGGAAGGUAUUGGAAAGAAGACCCUCAGAAAUAGCUUAAUCAAAAUCCCUGCGUCUGAACCAAGUGCCUUAUUUCUCUGUGGGCCUCAAGCUUCGCUGACAUCUGUGGAGCACACUGUCCUAACAGGAGUGCUGUCUGAUUUCCCAACGCUCUGCAAAACAAACAGCCUGGAAGGGUGGCUGGUGGAAGGUGGUUUUUAGAGAGAGACUUGUAGAUAACAGGAAAGUGAAGGCUGUAAGGAAGGUUGUAAUUAAACAGCACAUGGAAACACAAUCACAUUAUUGUCCCAUUCCAUAGGGAUAAUGAUGACCACUUCAGUGGGAAAAGGAGAGGUUUUAAGUCAUUAGGGACUAUGGGCCACCUUUUAGGAAGAUUUAUUUUCAAAGGUUAAAAUAGUGUUUUGGCAAUUCAAGUUUCAUUUUCAGAAAAUGUAAUUGAUGGGAACCUCAGUGACUCUGGAUGAAUAAGAUGCUGUUGAGUGGCUCUGACUUGGGCCAGCCGUGCUUCUCACAGGACCUUGGAGACCAAGGUCACUGUGAUCUCAGGUUCAGGGGGCAAGUCCUCUCCACACAGCCCUAGUUGGCCUCACAGCUGAAAAUGUCUCCCUUACUGUUGGACUCCUUUGUUCACCCACAUGAGUUUGUGAAUAAAUCCUUUCCAGUCU